rnacentral:lncRNA from 1 species
CAGAAACUCAACAUUAUACAGACUGUUAGGUUAAAGAGAACAAUGAAGUAAGAUUUUCACACUUCCUAUUGAGGAAGGGUUGAAAUCACAGAAGGUGACUUAAAAAUAGACACAGUAUCUUCUUUAUCCUGAAGAGAAAUAUCAGAGAGGAAUUAUUUACUGCUUUGAUUUUGAAGGAAAGAUAUUAAAAGAGAGAAUGGACUUCUUACAGUGUACGUACCUGAUUAACUUGGGCUGCGAAGGAAUUAACAUCUUACAGAAAAUGAGCCUGAUUAACUUGUGGUGUUGAAUCAGAGGGGGCUGACCUGAAGGAUAGUUGUUAGUCACCCUGUGAAAAGGGUCACAGUUAUGGAAAAGUGAUGGGGAAAGUACUUCUGUGUAUGUUUAUCUUAUUGAUUGUUGAAUAAAAUACUGUUUGGGCCAAUGAAACAGCAAGUUAGACAGGACUAGGAGUCAAAGAGGAUUCUGGGAAACGUAGUAGAGAAGUAGUGUUCCAGGCAGGAAGUGACAUAGCAAGAAGACUCAUAAGCAAGGAGAAAGAGGAAGUGGCCCCUUUCCCCUUCACAUCCUUCAGCGGCAGGAUGUGAGCCACCGGCAAGAGAGGGCACCAGUGAAAGGCAUUCUCUAUAAAGAUAAGUCUUAUAACAUAUAUAGAUUUAUGAUAAUUAAGACUGAGCUAACAGAUGAGAAAUCCUAGGCAUUGGCCAAGCAGCUUUGAACCUAAUACAAGUUUCUGUGUAUUCAUUUGGGCCUAACUCAGGCAGGCGGCUGGCGUAAAGCCCACACGUGGCGGUGGGGCUCAGGCGGCUUUUGGCAGAAAGAUUUAUCGUAACAGAAAAGGAUCGAUGUCUUUUCUGACAAACAUAGAGAAAAAGAAUAUACACCAUGUGAAGGUAAGAAAAACUACCAUGAAUGCUAAGCAAGAGGGAAAAGUGUUGCUGCUCUUCUAGAUAGACCUGUCCUUGCCAAAUAUAAUAACGAGGCCACUGGGUCUGCAAACAAUGGUUCCACAUUCUCAAGUAAGAGCCAAGACAAGUUUUAAAGGAAUAACCUCUUUCUAGGCUUGAAUAACUAAGCAGCACUCUGAGUCUGAA